GAACGCGAAGAACCUUACCAUCCCUUGACAUGGCAUGUUACCUGGAGAGAUCCAGGGUCCUCUUCGGAGGCGUGCACACAGGUGCUGCAUGGCUGUCGUCAGCUCGUGUCGUGAGAUGUUGGGUUAAGUCCCGCAACGAGCGCAACCCACGUCCUUAGUUGCCAUCAUUCAGUUGGGCACUCUAGGGAGACUGCCGGUGAUAAGCCGCGAGGAAGGUGUGGAUGACGUCAAGUCCUCAUGGCCCUUACGGGAUGGGCUACACACGUGCUACAAUGGCGGUGACAGAGGGACGCGAAACCGCGAGGUUGAGCAAAUCCCCAAAAGCCGUCUCAGUUCGGAUCGCACUCUGCAACUCGGGUGCAUGAAGGCGGAAUCGCUAGUAAUCGUGGAUCAGCACGCCACGGUGAAUACGUUCCCGGGUCUUGUACACACC
rnacentral:rRNA from 1 species